AUUGAACGCUGGCGGCAGGCCUAACACAUGCCAGUCGAGCGGAUGAAGGGAGCUUGCUCCUGGAUUCAGCGGCGGACGGGUGAGUAAUGCCUAGGAAUCUGCCUGGUAGUGGGGGAUAACGUCCGGAAACGGGCGCUAAUACCGCAUACGUCCUGAGGGAGAAAGUGGGGGAUCUUCGGACCUCACGCUAUCAGAUGAGCCUAGGUCGGAUUAGCUAGUUGGUGGGGUAAAGGCCUACCAAGGCGACGAUCCGUAACUGGUCUGAGAGGAUGAUCAGUCACACUGGAACUGAGACACGGUCCAGACUCCUACGGGAGGCAGCAGUGUGGAAUAUUGGACAAUGGGCGAAAGCCUGAUCCAGCCAUGCCGCGUGUGUGAAGAAGGUCUUCGGAUUGUAAAGCACUUUAAGUUGGGAGGAAGGGCAGUAAGUUAAUACCUUGCUGUUUUGACGUUACCAACAGAAUAAGCACCGGCUAACUUCGUG
rnacentral:rRNA from 1 species